AAUGGAAUCAUUAGUUAGAAGUUUGGAAUUAACUAGGCUCUAUCUGAAUGUGGAAAAUUUUCAUUGUGAGGGUGCAAUUGGAUCCUAAGUGUAAAGUGCCUAGUAUAGUGGAUAGUAAUUUAUUUUACUUCCUUUUUUUUUCCACUUUGAAUAAGGAGCGGCUAAACUUCAACUUUUGGGACACUGUUCUCUUACCUGCAUCUCCAGAAUAUAACCUCUUGGGGAAGAUAUUUGGGGACCUGGGGACUUUUAGGGGGUGGGCAGUAUUACCCAGAGCCCAGAUACCCGUGCCUUCUUGUCUGGAAAUCAUGACUCUCAAACUGCUUUGUGCCUGAGUAUUCCCUGGGAGGACAUGUUCCAUUUUCAGCUCCGCAAGCUAUAGGUUAGAUUCAAUAGACUUGAGGAGCUGCUCUCAAUGUGGGAUUAUGUGCAGAUCCCAAAUCUGACCCUGGGCCUCUGUGCUCUUCCAGUGCCCACUCAGCAUUUCUGGGGCUGCGAGGAAGGCAGUGGCUUCCCCUCACAGAUACAUGAAGCUCUUGCUUCCAUUUUUGUUUUUUUAAAUUUACAUUAAAGAGAGUUUUAGAUACACAAGAAAAUGAGAAGGGAAAUUGACCUUGCCUGUCUCUGGGUCUUGUGAAUAUAAAGGAAGGGCCUGUGCUUGGAGACUACUGGGAAUUUGUGGUGUUCCAGAAGACCUCCUCUGCUCUCAAGGGGGCUCUUGGCAGCCUGACUGUGAGCCACAAUGGGCUUUCUUAUUUCAGAUGCUCUUAAAUUUUCUUUUCUAACACUAUACGGUUAUGUCUUCACCAGUUUCUCAGAUUUCAAAAAAAGAAACAGGGAGGCAAAACAAAACAUUUUUUUUUCUUCUUGUGAAGGUUACAAACAUAAAUCAUGUUAGAGAACAAUGAAUGGACCUUAUUUUUUAUCUUCAGAAUGCUAGGCCUGUGGUAUCUUAGGAAGUCCCUUUAUUUUAGAAAGGAAGAAGACUGGUAUAGUGAGAGCAUCACACUCUGGGGAAUCAGAUAACUUGGCUGUGCUACCGGGCACCUGGGACUUCUUCGUCAGAAGUCUCCACUGUGAGCUCUUUUUUCUGUCCGUGAAAUGUGGGGCCCCUGAAGCUAUAAAAACUCUAAUGUUUUAUGAUUCCAGUGAUGGGUUUCAUGUAUGCCUGACAGGUACUUUCCAGACUUUGUUGACCUAUUUCAAGCUUGUGAGGAAUGGCGUGUACACCCUUGAUUACCUCACUCAUGAUUCCUCAUCAGUGCUUUAUAAAACUGUAGUGUGUUUGUGCUGGGAGGAACUUAAGAGAACAUGUGGAUCACCUCUUUACUCAUUUUACAUAGGAGAAAGAUGGUAUACCAAGUGACUUUCUCUAAGGUUAAGAUACAA